rfam:Rattus norvegicus chromosome 1, whole genome shotgun sequence.
GGGGAUUUAGCUCAGUGGUAGAGCGCUUGCCUAGCAAGCGCAAGGCCCUGGGUUCGUUCCCCAGCUCUG